GACCACGUAGCUCAGUUGGCAGAGCAUUGGGCUAGUAUUCCAAAGGUCCAAGGUUCGAUUCCCACCGUGGCCA